GACGAACGCUGGCGGCGUGCCUAACACAUGCAAGUUGAGCGACGAACCAGGGCUUGCCCUGGGGCAAAGCAGCGAACGGGUGAGUAACACGUGGGUAGCCUACCCCGAUAACCGGGACAACCCGAGGAAACUCGGGCUAAUACCGGAUGUGCUCACUGGACUUCGGUUCAGUGCGUAAAGGAAGCUUCGGCCUCCGUAUCGGGAGGGGCCCGCGGCCCAUUAGUUAGUUGGUGAGGUAACGGCUCACCAAGACCGCGAUGGGUAGCUGGUCUGAGAGGACGAUCAGCCACACUGGGACUGAGACACGGCCCAGACUCCUACGGGAGGCAGCAGUGGGGAAUCUUGCGCAAUGCGCGAAAGCGUGACGCAGCAACGCCGCGUGGGGGAAGAAGGCCUUCGGGUUGUAAACCCCUUUCAGGAGGGACGAAGGUUCGGCGGUGAAUAGCCGUCCGGACUGACGGUACCUGCACAAGAAGCCCCGGCUAACUACGUGCCAGCAGCCGCCGUAA
rnacentral:rRNA from 1 species